rnacentral:rRNA from 1 species
AGAGUUUGAUCCUGGCUCAGGAUGAACGCUAGCGGGAGGCCUAACACAUGCAAGCCGAGCGGUAGAGAUUCUUCGGAAUCUUGAGAGCGGCGCACGGGUGCGGAACACGUGUGCAACCUGCCUUUAUCUGGGGGAUAGCCUUUCGAAAGGAAGAUUAAUACCCCCAUAAUAUAUUGAUUGGCAUCAAUUAAUAUUGAAAACUCCGG